GCGGGCGUAGUUUAAUGGCAGAACAUCAGCUUCCCAAGCUGAAUACGAGGGUUCGAUUCCCUUCGCCCGCUCCA
rnacentral:tRNA from 1 species